ACCAUAGUUUUUAGUAGAAUAUCUUCUGGGGCUUUAGAAAAAUCUAUUUUAGUUUACAUGGAAGAUCGUCUCAGAAGAUACAGCACUCAUUUAUUAAGCCACAGAAAGUCUUCUCCAAGUCAGUGUGUGCUUGGCUCUGUGAUGCUGGAGGUAGGGCCACUGAAAGUAUCUGUUGGGUUCCCUUAGGCCUCUCUGGGUGGACCCUGGAGGCUGACGUCCUUGUUCUUGUCAGCAUCCUAGCAACAGAUUCCCUGUUCCAUUAUGGGAGGCUGGUGGCUGCCCCUCCUGUUCUUUCUUGCCUCCCCACUAAAGCCUUAACUAUGGCUGUCAGUAAGCUUUCCUCUGAGCAGAUAGGGUGUGUAUCCAGCUCCUCUAGGCCCUUCCAACCCACAUUCCCAUCAGUUCUGCUUCGCUAGAGUGCACAUUACAUCUGGAGUCACCUCUGUAUUCCUCAGGGUCCCUCCUCUGCAUCCUCACCCCUGUUCUCAAUUCUUAUUCAUUCACUGUGAUUAACGUGUGAUAGUUCCCUGAACUAGAAUCCGAUGUUUAAAAAUGCCCUUCAAAGCCCCGAUUCUAUAGCUACACAUGCCUCUAUGAAUUGUAUACUUCAUAGCUCUAAUAACUUGCUGCAGACAUUCAGGGCUUGUUUUAAUUUAAAGUACAAUUUUAUGAUUAUAAAGUAUUUUUCUAAUGAUGAUUUAAACUCAUGAGCCAAAUAGGAAUAAAUUUAGAAUGUCAAUACUAUAUUGCUAUGUAUCCUUUUAAAAAUAUUAUUUAUUCUUUGUGAAUUUUACAUUAUGCACCCCAGUCCCACUCAGCAGGUGGGCUUCUGGGUGGCUGCAUAUCAAUUUUAACACAUUGAAAUUGGAUUAAUGUUCUUUUAAAAGAAAUAUUUGUCUUUAUUUUAUGUGUAUGUGUUUUGCCUAUCUCUAUGUCUGUAUACAAGUUUCAUACAGUGUCUGAGGAGGUCAGAAUAGGGCGUCAGAUACACUAGAAGUAGAGUUAUAGAUGAUUGGAAGCUGAUCUGUGGGUGUGGGAAAUGAACCUAGAUCCUCUGGAAGAGCAACCAGUGCUCUUAAACACCAAGCCCUUUUCUCCAGCCAUAUAUAUGUAUAUGUAUGUGCAUGUAAUUGUACAUGUAUAUAUAUUUAACCUAUUCCUUUUUUAAAAAUGUACCCCCUUCCAAGGAAAUGAUCCACCCUUCAGUGAUUCAUAAAUGACUCGUGAACUUGAAGAGUACACCUUUCUAUAAUAUUGAGGUGGAGAAAUAUUUUCUAUAGGUUGAGAAUUCUAUCCCCAUACAGGAGUAACAGUUAGUUGCCAGGUCACGCCCUGAUUCUCCACUGGGGUGGCCAGAGCACUGCCUGGCAUGCCACCAGAGAAGGCAGGGCAGAGUCCAUAAGGGGUGGUCCACAAUCCCCGUUUUCCUUCACCAGACUAGAAGGAGAAACAGUAGGAUCUGGGAUGAAGGCUGUGUUUCCCAGUUUCCUGUGUACCUGGAUGUCGCUGUCAUAUUGCUGGGAGUCGAGAAUGGGGGUCCCUGAUCUAUGCUCCCUCUCAAGGCAUCCAUGUUGCUGGGGGCAGGAAGGGGAAGGCAGAGUUCGAGAUGUGGGCGGGGCACGGUUUGAAUCCACGUGAGGGCGUGAGCAUGGAGGGGCCUGAAGACAGAAGGCUUUCUCCAGGGGAUUUCGACAUGGCUCAUUAUGAUGAAGAGACGAUUCUUGCUUGUUCAGACUGCUUUAUUUGACCCAGGAAGAGCAGCUCAUUGGCUGAAUGCGAGGGGCCCUAUCUAGAUACCUCAUUAUUAUGGAGAACUCCCCGUGUUUAUGCUACACAACCCAGUGUCCAGGGACCUCAGUGGGAGUCAUGGUUACAGGAUCCAGAGCAGGUAGAGGUAGGCAGGGAGCGGCUGAGAUUCCCCGGGUUUGAGCUCAUUCAACCUUACCAUUUAUUAUGCCUGUCUGGUAACAAGGUCCCACAUGCCCUACAUUUAGUCAUUUAAAAAAUAUUUUUCCUUAUAUGGGAUACUUUGACUGGUUUCCAGGCAGCUUGAUUUUAUGAGCCCACUUGCAUCUUCCCAAAGCGGUAUGCUCACAGCAAGAGGGAUGGUGACAUGAGACACGUAGCGUUGGUGAAUUGUGGGUUAGGAUGUGUCUGCUAUCUGGGGCAGAGACGACAGCUUCAGAGAGGGGACUGUUUGACGGAAACACCUUGGAAGGAGCCACAGUGGGGAUACACGUACUGCUACUUAAGAUUGUCGAAGUUGUUUGUGAUUUAUUCACAGUCACGUCUCCAGCAGACAUCCAUUGACCUGGGGUCCAGCAACCGCUCUGAUGCUGUUAACAGCAGCAUUUUCUCAUGAUCUGCAAGAGCUUGAAAAGCUGCUACAGCCGGGACUCCAGCCGUCAUGACUGACGUGGAGCACGCGUACCUCCCUCCUGCUCACGUUGCUGCAGCUCCUGUCUGCUGCUUAGCUCCUCUCACUGACUGGUGUUAUACUCUCAUUAGUCAAUUCAGUCUUCACAAGCCUGUCGAGCUGGUACCACAGCGACAGUGUUUACCAUGAGGGUUGAACUAAAAAUGGAACUCCUCUCAGGACAGGUGGUGGAACUGGCUCUUAGUUAAGUCCGAGUCUAACGCCAGAUGUUUUAGCCUGAUUUCGCCCCUCCCUCCCAUUAUAAGCCAUAAUGUGUGCUCUCAUAUAACCUUGCAGGAGUAAUCUACGUUUCUACGUUAACGAUGGCUGUAUAAGACUCACACCCUUAUGGUCUAACCUUCCAUGUUUCUCUCAUAGGAUGCCCUCUUUUAUUUGUAGGAUAAGUAUUAUGAAAUGUAGUAUAGAGUUUUUGUUUGUUUUCUUUUUUGAAAUAGGGUUUCUCUAUAGAGCCCUGGCUGUCCUGGAAUUUACUAUGUAGAGCAGGCUGGCCUCAAACUCACAGAGAUCCCCCUGCUUCUGCCUCUGAGUGCUGGAAUUAAAGGCGUGCGCCACCAAGCCCAGCUCAUCAGUAUGGGUUUUAAAGGACCAACCAGUUCUCAGAUUCUUCACUGAAAGCAUCCUUCUGACCUCAUUCUCCUGUUGCCUUAGCAACUGUGAGUGAUGAUUGGCAGAGCACGUGUCUGGGGCCCUGGUACUCCCAUUGGUGAGUUCCUGAGGAAAGCGGGUGCUGCCGCAGGCCCCGUGAAACCCAGUGAGACUGCAUUCGUGGGCUGCCUACCAGGCUGGACAGUUCCUCGUGAUCCAGACCUGUCAGCUUAUCUGUGAACGAUCUAAGCUUGUGCCUGGAGUGUGUGUGAAUUCUGAUUGGAUGAGGUGGGGUGGAGCUAGAAGGAGGAGUCGGCAGCGAGUAGUGAGAAGAGUUUAGCCCUUGCUGCAAGAUGGAUGGAGUAGUAGAAGCUGCUGUUGUAAGUGGUAGAAGCUAGCUGUUGUAAAAGAAGCCAAUAGUAGUGAAGAGAGUUUUUUAGCCCUUGCCCUAGGUAGAAGCCAGAAGUAGUGAAUAAGAGUAGCUUUAGCUCUUGCUGUGAGUAGUGGUAGAGUAGUGAGUAGUUUAGCCCUUGCCCUAAGAAGAAGCUGCUGGGGAAGAGAGCUGUAAAAGAAAAAGCCUGAAGUAAAGGCAUUGCUGCAUGAACCCAAC
rnacentral:lncRNA from 1 species